GUGCUUGUUUUGGCAGCACAUAUACUAAAAUUGGAAUGAUACAGAGAAGAUUAGCAUGGCCCCUCUGUAAGGAUAACACACAAAUUUGUGAAGCACUCCAUAUUUUU